rnacentral:rRNA from 1 species
GAUGAACGCUGGCGGCGUGCUGAACACAUGCAAAGCGAACGGAAAGGCUCUUUGUAGUAGGGGUAAUCGAGUGGCGAACGUGUGAGGAACACGGGGGGGAUCGGCCCAGCACCUGGGAAUAAGCCGGGGAAACUGGGACUAAUACUGGAUAGGACGAUGGUUCGGGUGCUAUCGUGGAAAGCUUUUUCGGUGUGGGAUGAGCUCGCGCACUAUCAGCUUGUUGGUGGGGUAAUGGCCUAGCAAGCAGUCGACGGGUAGCCGGACUGAGAGGGUGUACGGCCACAUUGGGACUGAGAUACGGCCUAGGCUGCUACGGGCGCCAGCAGUGGGGGAUUUUGAGCACUGGGCGGAAGCCUGAUGCAGCGACGCCGCGUGGGGGAUGACGGCCUCACGGUUGUAGCCUUCUUUCGCUAGGCACGCAGCGCCCGUCACGGCCCCUGCAGAACCACGUCCGGCUCAAUACCUG